rnacentral:rRNA from 1 species
UACGUAGGGUGCAAGCGUUGUCCGGAAUUAUUGGGCGUAAAGGGCUCGUAGGCGGUCCAUCGCGUCGGGAGUGAAAAGCUGGGGCUCAACCCCAGUCCUGCUUUCGAUACGGGUGGACUAGAGGUAUGCAGGGGAGAACGGAAUUCCUGGUGUAGCGGUGAAAUGCGUAGAUAUCAAGAGGAACACCUGCGGCGAAGGCGGGUUGCUGGGCCGACACUGACGCUGAUGCGCGAAAGCUAGGGGAGCGAACGGG